rnacentral:rRNA from 1 species
GACGAACGCUGGCGGCGUGCUUAACACAUGCAAGUCGAACGGAAAGGCUCCAGCUUGCUGUAGUACUCGAGUGGCGAACGGGUGAGUAACACGUGGGUAAUCUGCCCUGCACUCUGGGAUAAGCCUGGGAAACUGGGUCUAAUACUGGAUAUGACCUUUCUCCUUAUGGGGUUUGGUGGAAAGUUUUUCGGUGUAGGAUGAGCCCGCGGCCUAUCAGCUUGUUGGUGGGGUGAUGGCCUACCAAGGCGACGACGGGUAGCCGGCCUGAGAGGGUGAUCGGCCACAUUGGGACUGAGAUACGGCCCAGACUCCUACGGAAGGCAGCAGUGGGGAAUAUUGCACAAUGGGCGGAAGCCUGAUGCAGCGACGCCGCGUGAGGGAUGACGGCCUUCGGGUUGUAAACCUCUUUCAGCAGGGACGAAGCGUAAGUGACGGUACCUGCAGAAGAAGCACCGGCUAACUAUGUG